UACGGGAGGCAGCAGUGGGGAAUAUUGCACAAUGGGCGCAAGCCUGAUGCAGCCAUGCCGCGUGUAUGAAGAAGGCCUUCGGGUUGUAAAGUACUUUCAGUCGUGAGGAAGGUGUUAAGGUUAAUAACCUUAGCAAUUGACGUUAGCGACAGAAGAAGCAUCGGCUAACUCCGUGCCAGCAGCCGCGGUAAUACGGAGGGUGCGAGCGUUAAUCGGAAUUACUGGGCGUAAAGGGCACGCAGGCGGUUAAUUAAGUUGGAUGUGAAAUCCCCGGGCUUAACCUGGGAAUGGCAUUCAAGACUGGUUAGCUAGAGUCUUGUAGAGGGGGUAGAAUUCCAUGUGUAGCGGUGAAAUGCGUAGAGAUGUGGAGGAAUACCGGUGGCGAAGGCGGCCCCUGGGACAAAGACUGACGCUCAUGUGCGAAAGCGUGGGGAGCAAACAGGAUUAGAUACC
rnacentral:rRNA from 1 species